UACGUAGGGUGCAAGCGUUAAUCGGAAUUACUGGGCGUAAAGCGUGCGCAGGCGGUUUUGUAAGUCUGUCGUGAAAGCCCCGGGCUUAACCUGGGAAUUGCGAUGAAGACUGCAAGGCUAGAAUCUGGCAGAGGGGGGUAGAAUUCCACGUGUAGCAGUGAAAUGCGUAGAGAUGUGGAGGAACACCGAUGGCGAAGGCAGCCCCCUGGGUCAAGAUUGACGCUCAUGCACGAAAGCGUGGGGAGCGAACAGG
rnacentral:rRNA from 1 species